GAUGAACGCUGGCGGCGUGCUUAACACAUGCAAGUCGAACGGUGAAGGCGGAGCUUGCUCUGCUGGAUCAGUGGCGAACGGGUGAGUAACACGUGAGCGAUCUGCCCCUGACUCGGGGAUAAGCGCUGGAAACGGCGUCUAAUAAUGGAUACGAGCGUCGAAGGCAUCUUCAGCAGCUGGAAAGAAUUUCGGUCAGGGAUGAGCUCGCGGCCUAUCAGCGUGUUGGUGAGGUAAUGGCUCACCAAGGCGUCGCCGGGUAGCCGUCCUGAGAGGGUGACCGGCCACACUGGGACUGAGACACGGCCCAGACUCCUACGGGAGGCAGCAGUGGGGAAUAUUGCACAAUGGGGGAAAGCCUGAUGCAGCAACGCCGCGUGAGGGACGAAGGCCUUCGGGUUGUAAACCUAUUUUAGCAGGGAAGAAGCGAAAGUGACGUUACCUGCAGAAAAAGCGCCGGCUAACUACGUG
rnacentral:rRNA from 1 species